rnacentral:ncRNA from 1 species
AUAGGCUGAAUAACGGUCAGGCGCCCGCAAGGGCUUAAAAGAGAAGCCGGUGAAAUUCCGGCGCGGUCCCGCCGCUGUAUCCGGGGACAGAAGCCGCAAAAAAGCCACUGAAGGAAACAACUCCCUUGGGAAGGCGCGGCAAGUAGGAUGAUCCGGGAGCCAGAAGAACUACCGGCCGUGUAACUCCCCC